rnacentral:lncRNA from 1 species
CAGAAGUGCGCAGCAGAACAUUCCUCUGAAGUUUAUCUUGCAGGUCAGAGGGUGGAUUUGUCUGUGGUUUGGAAAUCUCCCAGAGAGAUGAGGCUGGGAACCAUCAAGAUCUACUGCAGUACAAGAAGCAAUUGAUUGGGCUAAAAUCAGGUCAGUGUUUUAUUCCUGAUCAAGAGAGAAUUUCAUGUGCUCUCAUGUUAAGCUUCAAUAAUGUGUAGGAUACCCCAAUAAAAAAGUAACAUUUUGCCUUUCA